UGAGGCAGGAGAAUUGCUUGAACCCAGGAGGCGGAGGUUGCAGUGAGCCGAGAUCGAGCCACUGUACUCCAGCCUAGUGACAGAGUGAGACUCCGUCUC
rnacentral:miRNA from 1 species